UAUGUGAUCGUCUCUCGCAUAUCAAUAAGCGGAGGAAAAGAAACUAACAAGGAUUCCCCUAGUAACGGCGAGUGAAGCGGGAAGAGCUCAAAUUUGAAAUCUUAAAGGGUUUCCCUUUACGAAUUGUAGUUUAAAGAAGUGUUUUCUGUUGAGGUUUUGGUAAAAGUUCUUUGGAAUAGGACAUCAUAGAGGGUGAGAAUCCCGUAUUUGACCUUUACUUUCAACUUUGUGAUACACUUUCAAAGAGUCGGAUUGUUUGGGAAUGCAGUCCAAAAUGGGUGGUAAAUUUCAUCUAAAGCUAAAUAUUGGCGAGAGACCGAUAGCGAACAAGUACCGUGAGGGAAAGAUGAAAAGAACUUUGAAAAGAGAGUUAAACAGUACGUGAAAUUGUCAAAAGGGAAGCGUUUGACACCAGUGUUGUUUUUCUGAAAAUCAAUUAAAGAACUGUUUAUGCUAAGCUGUUUAGACUUUAUCAGCUAUCUGUUUAGUUUUGAGCUUUUCCUUAAUGCACUUUUCAGUUAACAAGUCAACAUCAAUUUCUUUUGCUGUAAAAAAGCUUGAGGAAGGUGGCUUGAGAUUCGUCUUAAGUGUUUAUAGCCUCUUGCCUAUGCAGUCGGAGAGAUUGAGGUCUGCAGCGUAGAUCCUUCGGGGCUAAAUGCAUUUGUGCUAAGUUAUAGCAUUUUAUAGACAACUUGUUGACUAUGAUUUGUCUUGUAGCUUACUCGCUUAUGUUAUUUUACCUACGCUUAGGAUGUUGACGCGCGUGUGUGCGUG
rnacentral:rRNA from 1 species